rnacentral:lncRNA from 1 species
UUUGAAUGAAUGUUUCUCACUUAAAUCAUCGCCAACAAAUUGCUUCACAAUCACCGAAACAAACAGUAACCUAUCCUCCCAUUAACACGUGAAGAAUGUGACACCCUGAAAUAAACACACUGUUAGGUUUGAUUGUAAAGAAUACAUUACAAUAACUUUUUUGAAGAGUUUACCAAAACUAUACUUUUAUUCUUUUUUUUUUUAAUAAUUUAAAUCCAAUCUAGA